UGGGAUAACUCCGGGAAACCGGGGCUAAUACCGGAUAACAUUUUGAACCGCAGGGUUCGAAAUUGAAAGGCGGCUUCGGCUGUCACUUAUGGAUGGACCCGCGUCGCAUUAACUAGUUGGUGAGGUAACGGCUCACCAAGGCAACGAUGCGUAGCCGACCUGAGAGGGUGAUCGGCCACACUGGGACUGAGACACGGCCCAGACUCCUACGGGAGGCAGCAGUAGGGAAUCUUCCGCAAUGGACGAAAGUCUGACGGAGCAACGCCGCGUGAGUGAUGAAGGCUUUCGGGUCGUAAAACUCUGUUGUUAGGGAAGAACAAGUGCUAGUUGAAUAAGCUGGCACCUUGACGGUACCUAACCAGAAAGCCACGGCUAACUACGUGCCAGCAGCCGCGGUAAUACAUAGGUGGCAAGCGUUAUCCGGAAUUAUUGGGCGUAAAGCGCGCGCAGGUGGUUUCUUAAGUCUGAUGUGAAAGCCCACGGCUCAACCGUGGAGGGUCAUUGGAAACUGGGAGACUUGAGUGCAUAAGAGGAGAGUGGAAUUCCAUGUGUAGCGGUGAAAUGCGUAGAGAUAUGGAAGAACACCAGUGGCGAAGGCGACUUUCUGGUCUGUAACUGACACUGAGGCGCGAAAGCGUGGGGAGCACACAGGAUUAUAUACCCUGGUAGUCCACGCCCGUAACUAUGAGUGCUAAGUGUUAGAGGGGUUUCCGCCCUUUAGUGCUGAA
rnacentral:rRNA from 1 species